GACAGAGGUCCCGAGCGUUAGGCGGAAUCACUGGGCUUAAAGCGUGUGUAGGCGGACUUCUAAGUACCUUGUGAAAUCCCCAGGCUUAACCUGGGAACUGCAUCCGAUACUGGAUGGCUUGAAUCCGGGAGAGGGAUGCAGAAUUCCAGGUGUAGCGGUGAAAUGCGUAGAUAUCUGGAGGAAUACCGGUGGCGAAGGCGGCAUCCUGGACCGGCAUUGACGCUGAUGAGCGAAAGCUAGGGGAGCAAACGGG
rnacentral:rRNA from 1 species